UACAGAGGUCUCAAGCGUCGUUCGGAUUCAUUGGGCGUAAAGGGUGCGUAGGUGGCGCCGUAAGUCAGGUGUGAAAUCUCGGGGCUCAACCCCGAAACUGCACUUGAUACUGCGGUGCUCGAGUACUGGAGAGGAGAUUGGAAUUUACGGUGUAGCAGUGAAAUGCGUAGAUAUCGUAAGGAAGACCAGUGGCGAAGGCGAAUCUCUGGACAGUUACUGACACUGAGGCACGAAGGCCAGGGGAGCAAACGGG
rnacentral:rRNA from 1 species